rnacentral:rRNA from 1 species
AUGAAUGCAUUUGUUAAGCUGAGGGCAUUGAUUAUAAGACCGGAUAAACAAGCAGAAAGGCAUGAAGCUGCUGUAAAUGCUAAGUACCUUCCAACCAGGAAACAAACUGAUGUGCUGAAUGUCCAGGGUAGUCAAGAUACUACUAGCCCACUCAAUCAGGGCAGCGGGAAGAAGCCAAAGCUGGUUACUCGUUCAAACAUAAACAAAAGGCAGCCCGGUGCACGUCGCUCCCGGUUGCGCAGGGUCCGGGGAAGGGUCCAACCACAUUUUUCAAACAUUGAUGUUCAGAUUUUUGUGAAGAGCCUUGAGGGGAAAACAGUACCAGUACUGAUCGAUUUAAAUAACCCUUCAUGUCAUCUGAUGGAUUUAAUUGCAAAGAGGAUGCUUUUUGAUCCUGCAAAGCACUACAUGGAGUACAGGGGCAGAAUUAUCAAUCCUGAAUCUGUAUUGACCGAUUAUGGAAUAUGUAAGGAUUCAACAGUCAACAUCCGGGCCAGGAUUCGGGGUGGUCAGAUAAUGCUUUCUGACUAUAUCGAAGAUAUUGAGCAAGUACUAAUGCAAACUCAGCUACCUCACAACAAUAGUUUAAGACCUGAGUUUACUGAUGAAGGUUGCUCGAUCCUUGAAACACUGACCAAGGAAGUGGUAGAGACCAUAGCUAGGGGCUACUGUUGGGCAGGAGAGCUGACACUCGCUGACUUCUAUGUGCACGAGGGCAAGGUUCAUGCCUAUGCCACAAAUUUAGUGAGAUCAAAUCGAGGAUUAAUUAGAAGAAACUUAGCUGAUCUAGCUGGUUUAAUCAGAAACAAUUUUGUCUUGGAUGGUUACUUGCCAGCAUAUUUGGAUCACCUUAUAUGGCUUCUUGAAAACCCUGGUUUCUUGAGUAGGAGAGUGCUGCGGAAGACAUAUAAGCUUCGUCUUCUGACGCAUUGUUCAUAUGUCCCCUCUAUGAACAGAAUAAAUAUGGUUAUUCAGCUGAAGAUCUUUUAUGAUAAGUUGGACCAGGCAGAGAAGCUGCUUUUCAUUGAUGCAUUGUUCCAUUCCUGA